rnacentral:rRNA from 1 species
CCCUUAGAUGUUCUGGGCCGCACGCGCGCUACACUGAUGCAUUCAACGAGUCUAAAACCUGCUCUGAUAGGGGUGGGUAAUCUUUUGAAUGUGCAUCGUGAUUGGGAUAGAUGGUUGCAAUUUUUCAUCUUCAACGAGGAAUGCCUAGUAAACGCAAGUCAUCAGCUUGCAUUGAUUACGUCCCUGCCCUUUGUACACACCGCCCGUCGCUCCUACCGACUGAAUGAUCCGAUGAAUAUCAUGGAUUGAGGAUGCAAGUAGGUUAGCCUAUCUUCAUCUUCGAGAAGUGAAGUAAAUCUUAUCAUUUAGAGGAAGGAGAAGUCGUAACA